UGGGGAAUAUUGGACAAUGGGCGAAAGCCUGAUCCAGCCAUGCCGCGUGAGUGAUGAAGGCCCUAGGGUUGUAAAGCUCUUUCAGUGGGGAAGAUAAUGACGGUACCCACACAAGAAGCCCCGGCUAACUUCGUGCCAGCAGCCGCGGUAAUACGAAGGGGGCUAGCGUUGUUCGGAAUUACUGGGCGUAAAGCGCACGUAGGCGGAUUGUUAAGUGAGGGGUGAAAUCCCAGGGCUCAACCCUGGAACUGCCUUUCAUACUGGCAAUCUGGAGUUCGAGAGAGGUGAGUGGAAUUCCGAGUGUAGAGGUGAAAUUCGUAGAUAUUCGGAGGAACACCAGUGGCGAAGGCGGCUCACUGGCUCGAUACUGACGCUGAGGUGCGAAAGCGUGGGGAGCAAACAGGAUUAGAUACCCCGGUAGUCC
rnacentral:rRNA from 1 species